rnacentral:rRNA from 1 species
UUGGGUAUCUUAAUUCAACAUCGAGGUGGUAAACUUAAUCCUAGAUAAGGGCUCUUAAAUUAAAUUACCCUGUUAUCCCUAAAGUAGCUUUUAUUUAUUGUUCAUUGAUUUAUUUUCUUCAAUGGGUCAUUAUAGCCUACUUUGUAACUGUAAAAUUUAUUUGUUAAACAGUAAAUUUUAAUAUUAUUUUGACAUAGCUUGUCUUUGUUAUUUUUAAAAGACCGUCUCCCCAACGAAACUACCUUUUUCUUAUUAAUUAUUUUUAAAUGUUUAAUAGGAAAAUAUAGUUAAGCUUUAUAGGGUCUUUUCGUCUUACAAUUUUAAAUAGCAUCUUCACUAUUAUUUUAAUUUUAUUUUGGUUUUAUAAGACAGUGGGAUUCUCGUUUGGCCAUUCAUUCUAUCCACUAAUUAGGUGGCAAAUGAUUAUGCUACAUUCUUACAGUUAUGGUUACUGCAGCCAUUUAAUUUAUUUUUUAUUUUUUCAGAUAAAUUUUUAAUCAUUGGGC